rnacentral:lncRNA from 1 species
CCAAGAGUCUCCGCGUUUUUUCGGAGAUUCUAUUGAGUUCCGUGUAGUGAACGAAACCUAGCAAAGAAAGAUUAUCAUUCCAAUCCGUUGCUUUACUUGUAGAAAGGUAGAUAAAUCCACUUUAAUAUAUUUUCUUUUAAAGUAAAUAUCAAAAUUUUAUGGUUUUGCUAGGUAAUUGAAACAAAUGGGAUACGUACCUUGAUUUACUCCAAGCUGAUUACGCAAAAGGGUGAGUAUCUUGUUAGUUCUACGGUUGAUUUUUUCUUUGUUGUUAUGUUAUUUGGAAACUUCUUUUUUUAAUUGUGCUUAUAGUUUUAAUUGAGUCUGAUG